rnacentral:rRNA from 1 species
AUUGAACGCUGGCGGCAUGCCUUACACAUGCAAGUCGAACGGUAACAGGUCUUCGGAUGCUGACGAGUGGCGAACGGGUGAGUAAUACAUCGGAACGUGCCUAGUAGUGGGGGAUAACUACUCGAAAGAGUGGCUAAUACCGCAUGAGAUCUACGGAUGAAAGCAGGGGAUCGCAAGACCUUGUGCUACUAGAGCGGCCGAUGGCAGAUUAGGUAGUUGGUGGGAUAAAAGCUUACCAAGCCAACGAUCUGUAGCUGGUCUGAGAGGACGACCAGCCACACUGGGACUGAGACACGGCCCAGACUCCUACGGGAGGCAGCAGUGGGGAAUUUUGGAUAAUGGGCGCAAGCCUGAUCCAGCCAUACCGCGUGGGUGAAGAAGGCCUUCGGGUUGUAAAGCCCUUUUGUUGGGAAAGAAAUCUUGCCGGUUAAUACCUGGCGAGGAUGACGGUACCCAAAGAAUAAGCACCGGCUAACUUCGUGCCAGCCGCCGCUGUAACAC